GCUGGGUGUGGUGGCACAUGCCUGUAGUCCCAGCUACUCAGGACGCUGAGGUGGGAAGAUCGCUUGAGCCCAGGAGUUCUGGGCUGUAGUGUGCUAUGCCAUCAGGUGUCCACACUAGGUUCGGCAUCAAUGUGGUGACCUCCUGGGAGUGGGGGACCACUAGGUUGCCUAAGGAGGGGUGAACUGGCCCAGGUUGGAAAUGGAGCAGAUCAAAACUCUCCUGCUGAUCAGUAGUGGGAUCAUGCCCGUGAAUAGCCACUGCACUCCAGCCUGGGCAACAUAGCGAGACCCUGUCUCUA
ensembl:misc_RNA Metazoa_SRP Metazoan signal recognition particle RNA